AACGAACGCUGGCGGCAUGCCUAACACAUGCAAGUCGAACGAGAUCCUUCGGGGUCUAGUGGCGCACGGGUGCGUAACGCGUGGGAAUCUGCCCUUAGGUUCGGAAUAACAGUUAGAAAUGACUGCUAAUACCGGAUGAUGACGUUAAGUCCAAAGAUUUAUCGCCUGAGGAUGAGCCCGCGUAGGAUUAGCUAGUUGGUGUGGUAAAGGCGCACCAAGGCGACGAUCCUUAGCUGGUCUGAGAGGAUGAUCAGCCACACUGGGACUGAGACACGGCCCAGACUCCUAAGGGAGGCAGCAGUGGGGAAUAUUGGACAAUGGGCGCAAGCCUGAUCCAGCAAUGCCGCGUGAGUGAUGAAGGCCUUAGGGUUGUAAAGCUCUUUUACCCGAGAUGAUAAUGACAGUAGCGGGAGAAUAAGCCCCGGAUAACUCC
rnacentral:rRNA from 1 species